GGCAGUGUGGUGCAGUGGGUUGAAUGUUGGGCUAGGAUUCCAGGAGACCAGGGUUCAAAUCCCCAUUCACCCA